rnacentral:rRNA from 1 species
AGCGAACGCUGGCGGCAGGCCUAACACAUGCAAGUCGAACGAACUGUUCGUAGUUAGUGGCGGUCGGCUGAUUACCACGUGGGAACUUGCCUGUUGGUUCGGAAUCCCUCAGGGAGAGUUGUGCUAAUACCGCAUGUGCCCUUCGCGGGUAAGAUUUAUCGCCAUUAGGUCGGCCCGCGUCAGAUUGGCUAGUUGGUGAGGUACCGGCUCAGCAAGGCGAGGAUCAGUAGCUGGUGUGGGAGGAUGCCCAGCCACGCUUGGGCUGAGACACGGCCCAGACUCGGACGGAAGGGAGGAGUGGGGAGUACAACGCGAGGGGGGAAGGUGUAGCGCAGCCGUGCGGCGGGAAUGAGGAAGGUCGUAGGAAAGUAAAAUUCUUUCACCGGGGGCGAUAAUGACGGUACCGGGAGAAGAAGCCCCGGCUAACUACGUG